rnacentral:lncRNA from 1 species
GUGUGAUGUACGAUGUUGCACGAGUUGAAUAAAAAUGGACUGAGUACAUGUCAACUUAGUAGUUAGACAUGUACUCGUCAAAGGACGAGACCUAUAAUGGUAUGGUCGAUGGGUACUCGACUAUAUACAGUACUCCAUCCCUUAGGUUUUACAUGUGAUGUGUUAAAGACUUGUGAAAAGCUUUAACAAAUCAAUCUUCAACUUUUACUUAUCGAUUAGGACAUCGAUACUUGAUAGUCGUCUUGCAAAGAAAAUUUUUAACUUUAGUCAUAACUUUAAAAGUUUAAUAGUCCUCUAGUGUCGAGAAGCAUAGUGACAAAAAUGUUAUAAUGAUUAGGUUUCAGGUAUGAUGUGGAGAGGGAGUAUAGAGGUAUGAGACUUAUGUGUUGCACACAAAUCGAUGUAAUGCAAGGAAGGGACAAAGUCGUGACCCUUAGUCUUUAGAUCUGGAGAGAUGUAAUGAUUGAGGGGGAAGAGGUGCGAAAGUGAAGGGUCAUGAAUUUUGUUUUACAUAUGAGCCUUAUUUGAGCACCAAGUUUUGAGAUAUUGCUUUUCUGUUGAUAUCUUUGUGAAAAGAGUUUGUCAUUUCAAAAACGUGUUACUCAAAAGUCGAUUACUUAAAAAGGUAUGUCUUGCAAUGGGUCAAAUAUGGAUUCUAGAGAAAAGUCAGACAGUAGUAGUGAUGAUAGUAGUCAAAUUUCAAUGUCAUCAGACGCUUCAUCAUCCCAUACCAUGGGGGUGGAGAUAGAAGUGAUUAUUGAGAACAUGAAAGACCUAACUAAAGAGCAUGUCGAGUCCCGACUACCUAGAAGGGAUGGAUAUGAAUGAGUACAUCCUCUAGCUAGAAUCAAGUUUUCCAAAUUUAGGUGGUUUAGAAUUUUGAAUUCCUGGUUGAACAUCAUCCAUGUGUUUGAGAGAGGAGUUUCCGAGGGCACAAUCCCAUUUUUAGGAUGAACGUCGUUUAUAAUGCUUAUCAUGGACGAGAAGAGUAUGAAGAGGAAUUCUCUUUGGUGUAUAUAAUUUUUUUCUUCUUUGUAAUAGUUUUUCUUUUUUUUUUUUUUUGUUAAAAGGCCGAGUAGUGAGACCGAAGACUUGUAAUUUGAAUUGAAAUGAAGGAACAAAACUUCUUGCCAUCUUCUUGUUUAUUUUAUGUUUGCAUAACUUGUAAUUUUCCUGUAAACUUUGGAUAACAGAUUUACGUAUGAAUGAGUAGUAUAUUCCUUUUUGUUGCAAAGUUGUCUUGUUAUAAAAGAAGUAUGAACUUUGUUUAUUGUUGAUGUUCAACCAGGACUACCUAGGUAGGCGGCAGGAAACUGGAUGGAAGGUUCAACCAGGACUGUUUAGUAGGCGACAUGGAACUGUGUGAAAGGUUUAACAAAGUCGUCUAGGUAGGUGACAAGAACCUACAUAAAAGGUUCAACUAGGAUUGCCUGGGUAAGUAACAAAAAAUUGCAUGUAAGGUUCAACUAGGAUUGCCUAGAUAAGUGAUAGGGAACUGCAUAAGAGGUUCGACCAGGAUCGCCUAGGUAGGUUUGGUAGAGAACUCCUUAAUUGCUUGCAAAAUAUUCAAAGAAAAGUUUAUUAUUGAAGGUAGAAACCCUUUAUUUUGUUGAUGAAAUGUCUUGUUAAAACCUUUUCAACCAAACCCCUUCUUUGGGAAAAAAGACUGAGUAAGGAAAGAGUACACUCAAGGUUACAAGCAAUCAACUAUCUAUAAGUUCCUAGCUGAAAUAAAACUUUAAAUGUGACAGAAGACGAAUUUCCUUCAUCAUGCCUUACGAAACACUUAAGGUGGUCGACAUGUAUUAGUUUUUUAACCUUAUCCCUAAGCGUAAUGCAUUCAUUUAUGGUGUGACCAUUAUUGUGAUGGUACUUGCAGUAUUUGUUCAUGUCAGCCUUCGACAGGUUCUGAGAUUUUCUUGAUAGCGGUAUGAAAUCUAACUUGCAAUAGUUGUUCAUUUAUGCAUUCAGGUUUCUAAUCUUCAUGGGAAAUUUACUAAACCUUUCAAUAAAAGCUCCAACAGACUGCCUAUUCUCUUGUCUAACAUUAGGGAAUGCAAGAGAGGUAAAGUGAUUAUGGUAGCUUGUGGUGAACUGUGUUAUAAAGUACGACACCAACAUGUUGAAAUUGUCAAUAGACAUGACGACAUCAUCAGUAGAGUAUAAACUAACAUGGGUGAUGUAGACGACAACAUGCUCAUGCAGAUCGGUGUUACCAUCAUACUAGUCUAAGGUAAGAACCUUCCACUACUUAGGAAAUGGGUAUCAAUAAUGUCGUCUGUGAAGGAAUGUCGGUGGCUCCCUCCUACAGUUGAGCAAUGAUUUGUCUUAAGAGUAGGAUUGUACUCGCUUUCCUCUUCAUUACCACGAACAUGGCUACUGCAAGUGGAUUUUUCUGCAUUAAGAUCGUGUUAUCAAGGGUUUCUUUCUCAUUUCCCUUGUCAAUCGUUAUUUUAGCUUUGACCCUCCUAUUCAGCCUUAUGUUUUCCUCCCUCGAGGCAUCCAUCUCCUUAGCACUUCUUUUGUUAAACUUAGUAAAUUCCUGAUGUGUCUCUACUUAAGCUUCCAAGAUAAUGGGUAUGUUAGUCGAUGAGGGACCAACUUCUCUUUCUCCAGCUAUCCUACUUCUUAUGAAUACCAUAAACACUUUUCUUCACAUAAUACAAGUCAGUCUCAUAGUGGAUGCCAAUUGCUCUUACAUAAUCGAGUAAGUAUCCUACGAAGACUUUCACAAACUCUCCAAAUACUUCUAACCUUCAAACUUUGGAGUAGUCAUCCUUCUCUUGAGUACCCAUUCUCCUUGCACUAGAUAGGGUGUGGACCUACAAAAGACACUAUGAUACUCAAGUUAGUCUCUCACGUCAGCAAGGAAUAAAUGCGUAAUUAAUAAAAAUGUAAUCAAUAUACCUCGUAAAAUACACUAUUUAUACUUACCUAGAUGGGCC